AAUGGAGUGCCUGAUUAAAGGAUUAUCUUGAUAGGAUAAAUAAAGUAAUUUCAAUUUACCUCCAUUA
rnacentral:tRNA from 1 species